GUGAUUAUGUGUCCAUCGGAUGUGAAUGCAAGGGCAUGGGUGUUAGAAAUCGGACUUGGAUCUUCUUGAAGAGCGGAAUGCGACCUUAACUGUUCUGUAGAUUGUAUCCUGUGGCGGCCCUGCUGAUUUCUCGGAGAGGUCUCAACCGUCACCAGAGACAGCUACUCGACUCGACUCACCAGGAGUCUGGAGCCAGCCCAGAGAUUUACCAGAACCAGAAGCCCAACAUUCAAAAGAGACUGUGGCUUUGAUCCGCCUCCCUGCCUUGAAGUCCUAGCUUUGAUAUGCCCGUUUCCCCGCUCUCACCUAUCUGCUAAAAGGCUUGACUCUGUUGCCUCAAGAAUAUAUAUAUUCCGUUUCUCUAAGUAAAGUACACACCUCGAUAAGAAC